GAGUUCGGAAAGGAUAUGACAAUGGAAAUUAUUGGUGCUGUGGGGUACUUCGAUUUGUUCCAGCUUGAUUAGAUAGAAUACUCGACAUAGUAGGAUCAAGGACAAACAGUUUGGAGAACAUGGAUUUGCUUGAGGUUCACAAGUAGAGUUUGUUGGUUCAUACUUAGCACUAUUGAUUGUGCUUCUACUCAGCUCCUUAGAUAACA
rnacentral:misc_RNA from 1 species